CAUUCUUUAUCCGCUAAGAAAGGCAAGGAUGGAGUAAGGUUUGGUGGGGUGGAGCGGAUGGUUGACGGGCAGUGGCCGAGUCCAAUCGGAGUGCCGCGCGCAGUCUGGUCAGCCUAUGGGACUCGGAUCCUAAAGUAAGAGGCGGGUCUCUUGGAAGUGGGAAUUAUUCGUGGGUCUACUUGAUCAGCCAAAGGGCUCGGCGGCCCUCGAGAAACGGAAGCUUGAACCUGGGACAUCUUUGUGGCACCUGAGAAUGGAGUUGGCGAAAGCAGCAUGAACAGUGUUCAUCAAGAGGAGCCACUUAGUUACCCUCGGUCUGUGGGCGGAGCCAUGCAGAUUAGGCUUCCAGGCCUCUCGGGGAGGGGUACGUUUGUGGGCGUGGCUUUGAGGGGUUUCUACGUCCUCGUUGGCUGACGACAGAGCCUCGCCGCCCUCUACGCGACACUAUUGGCUGGCAGGACAGGGAACGUGCUCGACGGCCCCCGGCAAGGACCGGUCCCCUGGACAGUCUUCAGUGGCUUCGAAAUACAGAGGAGGAACGCAGGGGCUGGGUCGCAUCCUCCCAUCUCGGGAAGCGUGGAGAGCGAGGGCUGCGAGGGACUCGUGCAACCAGCAGAAGGCGCUCCAAACUGACAGUUUGAGAACGAGGGCGAGCGCGGUGCCAACGCGCCUAUCCUGGUCUCCGCGUCUCACCCUCCACCCCUGAGUCUCUCAGGCUCUGCCUUUGCGUGGCUCUUUGGGUCUGUGACUCUCCAUCUGUUUUGCUCUACAAAUCGCCCGUUCUUGGUCUCUGGCCUCUCCCUGGACAGUUGAGUGACACCCCACACCCAGCCCCACCAGAUUUACAGAAAAGUUGUAAAGAGAGAGCAAAUACCUUGUAUUGAAGUGGAAAAAACAAAAGACAAAGCAGAGACCCACAGUUUCAAAGCUUGGCAGAGACUGACAGUCUCACGGCUGACAGGCUAAGGCCUGCCCCUCCUGCUAAAUUCACAAAGGUCACUGUGCCCAGAAGAUGAACUACUGAAACACAGCUGCCUGCCUCCCGAUGUCUUACAGAUAAACUGUAAAAGCAACAUUACCGCCGCCUCCCUACCCUUUGUUAAGUUCUGCUUCUGUAAAAUUCUGCUUGUUCCCCUGCCCUGCCUAAAGAGCAAGAUAAAAAUGAAAACAAACUUAGAAACGGGGCUCAGACUCUGGGAGGUGACUUCUGGUGGCCCCACUGGGGAAUCUGCCUGGCUUUCUUUCCCUUCAGUUCUCUGGGUGCUGCUCUCUUCCUUGGUCUGCCUGCUUCCGAGUGCCAUCUCAGUAUAACCACGGAGGAUUGAAUGAGUUCUUCAGUGGCACCAAGACGCCUUGGAAGAGGGAAUGAGAAAAGCGACUGACUCUGCCCUGAUGAAGCUGAAGACUAGACAUACAGCUCAGUGCAGCAUUUGUGGCCUAAAAUACCUGUGUGUUGUAUGUAGGGGAAGAAUUGUGUGGGGAACAUGGUUAUGGGCCCCAAGUCUGCAAUGAAUUCCAG
rnacentral:lncRNA from 1 species